rnacentral:rRNA from 1 species
AUUGAACGCUGGCGGCAGGCCUAACACAUGCAAGUCGAACGAGUGGCGGACGGGUUAGUACUGUCUGGGAAACUGCCUGAUGGCGGGGGAUAACUACUGGAAACGGUAGCUAAUCCCGCAUACCAUCAGAUUUGCCCAGAUUGGAUUAGCUUGUUGGUGGGGUAACGGCUCACCAAGGCGCCGAUCCCUAGCUGGUCUGUGAGGAUGACCACCCACACUGGAACUUAGACACGGGCCAGACUCCUACGGGAGGCAGCACGGGGGAAGAUUUCACAAUGGGCGCAAGCCUGAGGCAGCCAUGCCGCGUGUAUGAAGAAGGCCUUCGGGUUGUAAAGUACUUUCAGCGGGGAGGCGGUACCCGCAGAAGAAGCACCGGCUAACUCCGUGCCAGCCGCCGCGGUAUUC